CUACUGGCCGAUAGCCGGUUGUUUGGGAACAGAGACGUUAAUACAUCCACCAUGGUACGGGCUUACACCAUGGGUGAAGAAUUACAUCCAAUAUAUCCAUUAUUACAGCCGCAUACAGCUAGCAGGAAGCUGGCAGAACCGGAUAUGUCAUAUUGAGCGUGCAGGGCGGUGCAGUCCCGUUGGUCUGAUGCACAUUCAUUAUGUUGAGGAAAAUAUCUCUGGAUUCGGCUAUUAGUUGCAAGCUACAAUGGAGUCGACCUUCCUUUUAUGCCUUGGAGACAGUGUCAAGGACGAACCUCUCGCCUGCCUUCCUACUAUAUCAACUAUGGGAUAGCAGUUCAGCGGAUGAGAUUGUGCUGCGCUCAUACGGAGAUUUCAGAGGAGACAGACGGCGAUGAGAAAUGCCUUUUCAAUUCUACUCGCCAACUGCUACUGCCGUUCAUCAAUAAGGUUCCAUGGUGGUGAGGAGGUCGUGUCUGUUUGGCGGUGCCAGGAAGCUGCUUGACAUCUCCUGGAUCCAUCUCUUCAUAUAUCCUCACAUUAUAUGUAGCAUUUUUUUUGUUAUCCUGGAAGGGGUAACCCCCUUUGUUGCUCUUCCCGAGGUUUCUUCUAUUUGUCCCUGUUCAAAAGGUUUUUUUGGGGGGGGGGGGGGAUUUUUCCUCCUCCGAUGAGAGGGUCGUACUGUAAAGGACAGAGUGUGUCGUAUCCUGUACAGAUUGUAAAGCCCCCCCUGAGGCAAAUUUGUGAUUUGUGAUAUUGGGCCGUACAAAUAAAAAUUGACUUGACUUUGCCUGUCAUGUUUCCAGAGUGGAGGAAAGAGGGAGAGCUGAGGAGAUGAUGGGGGAGAGUUUAUUACAAAUAAAUAACGGCUACAAAUGAGCCUCUCUCAUUUGGGUCAUGAUAGAGAGGCUCUUAAUUUGCCUGGUGGCAGAUGAGGGGAGGGGGCGAGGGUGGGAAGAGGAAAGACGGGGGGGUGGUGAGGGAUGCAGGCGAAGGAUGGAUGAGAAAGACACACAAAUGUAAUUGCGACUGAUGUUUCAUUCCACAUAUGGGGCCCGUGCGGUGCCAGCUAGCCGCGGCUAUAGGCCCGGCUGUAAUUGUCUAUUCUGUAUAAUAUGGGGGAGAAUGUGAGGCGCUAUUACUACACAAUAGGCUGAUGGAUGGCUUAUUCUGCCAGCCAGCUGGAUUUUUAAGAAAUACAAGCGCACACGUAACCAGCAACGCAGAUAUGCAAUUUGUGGUAUGCUCAUUCUGACGUGAUAGAGAUGGUCUACACGUGUGAGUCAAUAAAGUAUGAACUUUUAACAUGUGGAUAUGAAGCACGAUGCAAUGAAAACAAGGCAGUCGCCAGGUGCACAACACACAUACACACACACACACACAUUCUGGUUAGAAGAGCUACAAUAUGAAUAUACUAGGGCUGUCAAUUGUUUAAAAUAUUAAAUCACAUUUUUUAUCUGUUCAAA